rnacentral:rRNA from 1 species
GACGAACGCUGGCGGCGUGCUUAACACAUGCAAGUCGAACGAUGAUGCUGGAGCUUGCUCCAGUUGAUUAGUGGCGAACGGGUGAGUAACACGUGAGCAAUCUGCCCUUGGCACUGGGAUAACUGCGGGAAACUGUAGCUAAUACCGGAUACUUUCACCGGAAGGCAUCUUCUGGUGAUGAAAGAAUUUCGGUCAGGGAUGAGCUCGCGGCCUAUCAGCUUGUUGGUGAGGUAACGGCUCACCAAGGCGACGACGGGUAGCCGGCCUGAGAGGGUGACCGGCCACACUGGGACUGAUACACGGCCCAGACUCCUACGGGAGGCAGCAGUGGGGAAUAUUGCACAAUGGGCGCAAGCCUGAUGCAGCAACGCCGCGUGAGGGAUGAAGGCCUUCGGGUUGUAAACCUCUUUUAGCAGGGAAGAAGCGAAAGUGACGGUACCUGCAGAAAAAGCACCGGCUAACUACGUGCCAGCCGCCGCCGUAA